GUGGGGAAUUUUGGACAAUGGGCGCAAGCCUGAUCCAGCAAUGCCGCGUGCAGGAAGAAGGCCUUCGGGUUGUAAACUGCUUUUGUACGGAACGAAACGGUCCGGGUUAAUACCCUGGGCUAAUGACGGUACCGUAAGAAUAAGCACCGGCUAACUACGUGCCAGCAGCCGCGGUAAUACGUAGGGUGCAAGCGUUAAUUGGAAUUACUUGGCGUAAAGCGUGCGCAGGCGGUUUUGUAAGACAGGCGUGAAAUCCCCGGGCUCAACCUGGGAAUUGCGCUUGUGACUGCAAGGCUGGAGUGCGGCAGAGGGGGAUGGAAUUCCGCUGGUAGCAGUGAAAUGCGUAGAUAUGCGGAGGAACACCGAUGGCGAAGGCAAUCCCCUGGGCCUGCACGGACGCUCAUGCACGAAAGCGUGGGGAGCAAACAGGAUUAGAUACCCCGGUAGUCC
rnacentral:rRNA from 1 species